rnacentral:tRNA from 1 species
UCCCAUAUGGUCUAGCGGUUAGGAUUUCUGGUUUAAACCGGGACGGCCCGGGUUCGACUCCAGUUAUGGGAA